GGUUAAGCGACUAAGCGUACACGGUGGAUGCCCUGGCAGUCAGAGGCGAUGAAGGACGUGCUAAUCUGCGAUAAGCGUCGGUAAGGUGAUAUGAACCGUUAUAACCGGCGAUUUCCGAAUGGGGAAACCCAGUGUGUUUCGUCACACUAUCAUUAACUGAAUCCAUAGGUUAAUGAGGCGAACCGGGGGAACUGAAACAUCUAAGUACCCCGAGGAAAAGAAAUCAACCGAGAUUCCCCCAGUAGCGGCGAGCGAACGGGGAGCAGCCCAGAGCCUGAAUCAGUGUGUGUGUUAGUGGAAGCGUCUGGAAAGGCGCGCGAUACAGGGUGACAGCCCCGUACACAAAAAUGCACAUGCUGUGAGCUCGAUGAGUAGGGCGGGACACGUGGUAUCCUGUCUGAAUAUGGGGGGACCAUCCUCCAAGGCUAAAUACUCCUGACUGACCGAUAGUGAACCAGUACCGUGAGGGAAAGGCGAAAAGAACCCCGGCGAGGGGAGUGAAAAAGAACCUGAAACCGUGUACGUACAAGCAGUGGGAGCACGCUUAGGCGUGUGACUGCGUACCUUUUGUAUAAUGGGUCAGCGACUUAUAUUCUGUAGCAAGGUUAACCGAAUAGGGGAGCCGAAGGGAAACCGAGUCUUAACUGGGCGUUAAGUUGCAGGGUAUAGACCCGAAACCCGGUGAUCUAGCCAUGGGCAGGUUGAAGGUUGGGUAACACUAACUGGAGGACCGAACCGACUAAUGUUGAAAAAUUAGCGGAUGACUUGUGGCUGGGGGUGAAAGGCCAAUCAAACCGGGAGAUAGCUGGUUCUCCCCGAAAGCUAUUUAGGUAGCGCCUCGUGAAUUCAUCUCCGGGGGUAGAGCACUGUUUCGGCAAGGGGGUCAUCCCGACUUACCAACCCGAUGCAAACUGCGAAUACCGGAGAAUGUUAUCACGGGAGACACACGGCGGGUGCUAACGUCCGUCGUGAAGAGGGAAACAACCCAGACCGCCAGCUAAGGUCCCAAAGUCAUGGUUAAGUGGGAAACGAUGUGGGAAGGCCCAGACAGCCAGGAUGUUGGCUUAGAAGCAGCCAUCAUUUAAAGAAAGCGUAAUAGCUCACUGGUCGAGUCGGCCUGCGCGGAAGAUGUAACGGGGCUAAACCAUGCACCGAAGCUGCGGCAGCGACGCUUAUGCGUUGUUGGGUAGGGGAGCGUUCUGUAAGCCUGUGAAGGUGUGCUGUGAGGCAUGCUGGAGGUAUCAGAAGUGCGAAUGCUGACAUAAGUAACGAUAAAGCGGGUGAAAAGCCCGCUCGCCGGAAGACCAAGGGUUCCUGUCCAACGUUAAUCGGGGCAGGGUGAGUCGACCCCUAAGGCGAGGCCGAAAGGCGUAGUCGAUGGGAAACAGGUUAAUAUUCCUGUACUUGGUGUUACUGCGAAGGGGGGACGGAGAAGGCUAUGUUGGCCGGGCGACGGUUGUCCCGGUUUAAGCGUGUAGGCUGGUUUUCCAGGCAAAUCCGGAAAAUCAAGGCUGAGGCGUGAUGACGAGGCACUACGGUGCUGAAGCAACAAAUGCCCUGCUUCCAGGAAAAGCCUCUAAGCAUCAGGUAACAUCAAAUCGUACCCCAAACCGACACAGGUGGUCAGGUAGAGAAUACCAAGGCGCUUGAGAGAACUCGGGUGAAGGAACUAGGCAAAAUGGUGCCGUAACUUCGGGAGAAGGCACGCUGAUAUGUAGGUGAAGUCCCUCGCGGAUGGAGCUGAAAUCAGUCGAAGAUACCAGCUGGCUGCAACUGUUUAUUAAAAACACAGCACUGUGCAAACACGAAAGUGGACGUAUACGGUGUGACGCCUGCCCGGUGCCGGAAGGUUAAUUGAUGGGGUCAGCGCAAGCGAAGCUCUUGAUCGAAGCCCCGGUAAACGGCGGCCGUAACUAUAACGGUCCUAAGGUAGCGAAAUUCCUUGUCGGGUAAGUUCCGACCUGCACGAAUGGCGUAAUGAUGGCCAGGCUGUCUCCACCCGAGACUCAGUGAAAUUGAACUCGCUGUGAAGAUGCAGUGUACCCGCGGCAAGACGGAAAGACCCCGUGAACCUUUACUAUAGCUUGACACUGAACAUUGAGCCUUGAUGUGUAGGAUAGGUGGGAGGCUUAGAAGUGUGGACGCCAGUCUGCAUGGAGCCGACCUUGAAAUACCACCCUUUAAUGUUUGAUGUUCUAACGUUGACCCGUAAUCCGGGUUGCGGACAGUGUCUGGUGGGUAGUUUGACUGGGGCGGUCUCCUCCUAAAGAGUAACGGAGGAGCACGAAGGUUGGCUAAUCCUGGUCGGACAUCAGGAGGUUAGUGCAAUGGCAUAAGCCAGCUUGACUGCGAGCGUGACGGCGCGAGCAGGUGCGAAAGCAGGUCAUAGUGAUCCGGUGGUUCUGAAUGGAAGGGCCAUCGCUCAACGGAUAAAAGGUACUCCGGGGAUAACAGGCUGAUACCGCCCAAGAGUUCAUAUCGACGGCGGUGUUUGGCACCUCGAUGUCGGCUCAUCACAUCCUGGGGCUGAAGUAGGUCCCAAGGGUAUGGCUGUUCGCCAUUUAAAGUGGUACGCGAGCUGGGUUUAGAACGUCGUGAGACAGUUCGGUCCCUAUCUGCCGUGGGCGCUGGAGAAUUGAGGGGGGCUGCUCCUAGUACGAGAGGACCGGAGUGGACGCAUCACUGGUGUUCGGGUUGUCAUGCCAAUGGCACUGCCCGGUAGCUAAAUGCGGAAGAGAUAAGUGCUGAAAGCAUCUAAGCACGAAACUUGCCCCGAGAUGAGUUCUCCCUGACUCCUUGAGAGUCCUGAAGGAACGUUGAAGACGACGACGUUGAUAGGCCGGGUGUGUAAGCGCAGCGAUGCGUUGAGCUAACCGGUACUAAUGAACCGUGAGGCUUAACCUU
rnacentral:rRNA from 1 species